rnacentral:rRNA from 1 species
UACAGAGGGUGCGAGCGUUGUUCGGAAUUAUUGGGCGUAAAGGGUGCGUAGGCGGUUUGGUAAGUCUGAUGUGAAAUCUAUGGGCUCAACUCAUAGUCUGCAUCGGAAACUGCCGGGCUUGAGUGUGGGAGAGGUGAGUGGAAUUCCUGGUGUAGCGGUGAAAUGCGUAGAUAUCAGGAGGAACACCUGUGGCGAAAGCGGCUCACUGGACCAUAACUGACGCUGAUGCACGAAAGCUAGGGGAGCAAACAGG